CUGAAAGUAGUCAAGAAUAAAAAUUCACCAUCAACCAGAAAGCUACAGAGAGCAAAAUCAAAUAUAAGUUGAACUGAUUCUGGGGCAGAUAAGGCUAAUAAUUUGUUCUGCUAUGUUCUGACUUUCAUGAACAAGAUAAAGAUAUAGGAAAAUGUUUGGGAUCAGGGGCUUGGGCUCAAUGACCUCAGGGGUCCCCUCCAACAGCUACAGUUCUGUGAUUUUGUACACCAAACUGGGGUAACACAAGACUCCAAUUGUUUCAGCUAUCGAAGAUCUUAAAAGUAAAUGUAAUACAUACUAUUUGUAUGGUAAAUUGUUGAUCACAGACUGAACCUCUGAUUAACCACCUGAGGCAAGCAAUGAGUCAGCUGUGGGAGCACAGGUGAAGGGAAUUUCAGCUGUGCUACUUGAAGGGCUGCACCCCUCCCAGGUCUUAUUUAAGGACUGACUACCACUAAGGCAGGAUCUUUUUCUCUGGAGAUUGUUUCUUCAUGGAGUAUACUGCAAACCUUCAAUAUUGGCUGCAUUUAUUGCUUCUACCUGCUCCAUUUCCUGUGUUUAUGAAGAAUUCACUCCGAUUUAUCUCCGGAAAAAGUAGUGUGGAUUGUGACAUGGAUUCGUGCUGUUGGAAGUAGGGAGGACCUCUUAUAAGAUUUUUUGUUUGGAUUAAACAAAGUGAAACAGACCAAAGGACGAUCACUAUUAAAUCACAACCAAGCAAUCUCCAACAAAAUCUUAAGUCCUAAGCUGACUGCUUUUACAAGACUGUUUGCUAAUCCUCCACAUUUCUCAAGUUAUCAGCAAAUGCCACGUA